rnacentral:lncRNA from 1 species
GGAGAUGGAGUAAAUGUUAUUUUCCAUGAUCCUAACUGGGAGUGUAACCUGCUCUGACCAGUGCUGUGUGUAUCAAUAAAAGUGUUUAAAGACAUUGAGAAGGGUCCAGCUGCAGUCCUCCAUGCCCAGCUCCUCCAUGCCCCCGGCCCGGAAGCUACCCCUCCAUAUAUGGGCUCCUGCACAGCAGCUUUUCUCCUGAAGGUGGCAGUAAUGCAAAAUUUUGAGUGCCAACUGCCGUCAACAACCAAAGAAGAAGAAGAAGCUACUCUUCUUCUUCUAUUGUUAGACGAAACAAUAGUGGUACACGUGUUUCUCGGAACAGCCUUGCGCAGAACAUGGAACAACAAGAACAAGACUCUCUUCAACAUCAUGCUGAGGAAGCGGUUACUGAGGAGAUGACUUCACAGCAAAGGAUUGUGGCAGACGGCAGAAAAGCUGCACAGUGGGUUGUGGAAAAUAAACACCUGUUUGCAGCACAGGUGGAGGUACCAGCGGCCCUGCAGGAUGAGGAGGAGGAGCUGGCAUAUGCUCUCCAGCAGUGUGGCCGGCUUAUAAAUGACUCUACUGAUAAGGAAAUGGACGACGAUGAAAAAGAGUUGAUUUUGGAGCCAUUCAAAUUUCUUUUUUAUAACAUGGAGGACAUGGAGA